GGACUCAUGGCAUAUCAGGACCUGACGUUGCUCGUCUUUGAUAAAAGGCUUUUGAAAGAUCUUCAGAAGAUGGCCCUCUUCAAACAUACUGGGCCACUGGAGAUCUUUCACAGUGCUCUCCUGAAGUACCUCCCUAAACGCCAGGUCCUCUCCUGUGAGGGAGAGGGCCUACCUCACCAUCAUGGAACAUAAUGAGAACAUUGUGGCACGAGAACAAGCCACCACGGCAACAGGAGAACCACGCGUCAAGCAGGUCUUCUGCAAAAAGUCAAAGCAAUGGAUAGUCAAGAAAAUCUAUAAGCCACACACCACCAAGUUCAUCCAGACACUAAUUGAGAAGGUCAUAGAAAACAGACGCAACCCAAACAUAACAUUCAAGGACUCAACUGCCUCACUCACCCAACCACAACCUCCUUUGCCACCUAACAUUGCCCCUGUCCCAAAGCCGCCAAAGAAAGCUGCAACAUCAUCAUUCAAGAGCCGCUUCUGAGCAGGGGAGAUUCAAAAU